rnacentral:lncRNA from 1 species
GUGGAAUUUAGUUCAAUAUGAAGAAACUGAAUGACAAAACCUAUUCUACGUUAUACAACUUUAAUAAUUGUGUUGAAAUGAAUAUAUUUCUGCAACAACAUCUUACCUGCUAGUUUUAAAUCACCUGCACGAUCUGUUCGUGAAAUGUCCUAAAUAUUCACCUAUUUCGGUAUAUAUUUCACAGCUGGAUGGCUUUAGGCGCGAUAUAACCCC